GCCACUGUGACAUCACUAACAUCACUCCAGAACUUCAAGGCAAGAUCCAAGAGUUUCAGCAGCCAGCAUUCCCUCUCCUGCGCCUGAGUAUGCGUCUCAUCCCACAGCUGGGACAGGCUAGACACUUGCUCCUGGAUUGCUAAGAUAACAAAGAUAUAUAUAUUGCUUAGAAUCUGCUCUUUCCCCACUGUUAAUAGCAUUGCUGCUAGGACAGUAUCAUGCCUAUUUACAAACAAGACCACAUUACCUGUGCCGACAGAUCCAUCACCAGCUGCCUGUGUGUUAGCCAGCAGCUCAUCUGCCUGUGUCUUGACACUGCCAAGGCCCAGCUCCAGCUUGGACAGCUCAGACAGGGUGUGCUUGUUGUCCUGCAGCUGCUCCUGGAUCCUUGGGGUGAGGCCUUGAAGAGAGGUGUGAGUCUGUAUACGACUGCGCAGGCGGUCAAGACUCUCUCUGAUAAGAGUCAUUCUCUCAUUCAGCUACAGCUGCACACAGUACUGCAUCUCCAGCAUGUGUCUGCGCUCCUGCUGCCCCCAGAAGCUCCCGCUCGAUGCGGCCCAGCCACAGGUGGAGGUCCUCCUGGCUGGAGGUGCAGCGACUGGAGGCCUCCAUGGCCUGCUCUAACCUCUGCAGCACGUCCAGACUGCUAAGACUCAGCACAGAGCAACGGAUGCGCAGAGCAUCCAUCUUCUCCUGUACCUGCUGGGCUUCCUCCUCUGAAACAAAGGACAAAUCACAAACAUUGGUCAUAUCAGCAGACAGCAGUAAUAGGCACAAUGCAUAUUUACUACACUGCAUAUGCACUUGAACCAGACGUGAGAGACUUCCAACCUUGGCCCUAUCUGUGGCCUCUGAGAUAUGCAGCAUCACUCUCUCUGCAUUUCGGAGUUCAGCUAGGGCCUGUUCCACAGAUAUGAGCCAUUGCUGCAAGCUGUCUACUCCUUCCUGGAAGAGCUGGGCCCUGGGCAGAAUUAGCUCCAGACUCGCUCUCCUACCAGCAACAAAACAAAAACCAUUUUAACUGUAAGGCCUCCCACUUAUGUUUAAGAGCGGAGAGCUUGACCUUUGCCUGCUCCCCCUCUUCUCCGGGGUGGACCUCCACCAGCCGAGGGCCCUCCAGCAUCAUAGAGUCCAUACUACACCUUCGGUCAGUUAAGAGACGCUGCAAAAGCUGUAAAAGAAUGGUUAAAGAGAUACUGAAACGAAAAGUUUUUUUUGUAUAAUACAUUUGUAUAAAAUAAAAGAACGCAGCAGUACUGCAGAUGAUGUUUACCAUAUAUUUGAGGUUUAAUUUCUGAGAAAUGGCAUUGCAUGCAGUAAGAAUAAAC